UGAGUGCCGCUUUAGUGAUGAACAAAGCUUCAUUAUCCUGGAGUUCCUCUGCUCCAGAUAGAUCUGAAAGUCCACUGAUUGCAGCUAACAGGGUUAAGAGUGAUACAAAUCUACAAGACACGAAAUUAACACUACAGAACAUCACAUUUACUCUUUUCAAGGGAAAUUUGCUUGGAGUUUGUGGCAAUGUUGGAAGUGGAAAAACAUCACUGAUAUCAAGCAUACUUGAGCAGAUGCAUCUUCAGAGUGGAUCGAUCUCUGUAAAUGGAACAUUAGCCUAUGUUUCCCAACAAGCCUGGAUCUUUCAUGCAACU